rnacentral:lncRNA from 1 species
CAUCCCAAUCAGGUCUCGUAAAGCUUCCAGUUUUACUGUUAUUUUAUGGAUUAUUCAAUGCUUCGAGUGGUUAAGAGGUCCCCUGUAUCGAGUGGAGAUGCGUGUGCUCAGAUUGUAUCAAGGAAAGCGUCUGUAACAGGAUAAACCGGUUGAUUUCUUGGUUUUAAGGAGAGGACUAAACCAAGAGGCUAACCGGUUUAUCCUGUUACAGCGUCUGAUGGAGUUGUCCUGACUAUGACAUGGGAAUUGUAAUGCUUUCGACUAGCCUCUAAUUUUCUUGCCGUAAAGUUGGAAACUUGGAGUCAGUCAGGUCAAUCUUGAAACUUUACUCUGUUUUGCUUUAUAAAUUGUUUGGGUGUAUGCUACUGUUUGUUUGUGGGUUUAAAAAA